rnacentral:rRNA from 13 species
UUGACCUCGGAUCAGGUAGGAAUACCCGCUGAACUUAAGCAUAUCAU